rnacentral:sRNA from 1 species
CGUUUUAUGGUAUAAUAUACGAGAUAGUAAAGGUUUAUGACGGUGGCUAAUCUCUGAAAAAGGGGUGAUUGCCUAUGUUGAUUUUUGGCUAUACUCCUAGAAAGGACUAGCUUUGACUAUUUUUGAAGCGUUAAUGUUUGCGAUUACUUUUGCGACAUUAAUUCUAAAAAUUAGUGAUAAAAA